rnacentral:tRNA from 1 species
GGUGGCUCAGUGGUAGAGUGCUUGCCUCACAUGCAUGAGGCCCUUGGUUUGAUUCCGUAGCACCA